UCAUGUACUUAAGAGACAUUUUACUAAUAAUCUUAUAUAUAUAUAUAAAAAAUCAUAAGCUUUAUACACUAAAAAAAGAUUAAAUCAUUUUUUAUAAGUAAAAGUGAAAAAAUAUGAUCAAAAUCUACAAGUUUGUUUAUGCUAUGAUUCAAUUUCUUCUUAUAUUUUUUGUUGCAGCGAAGAAAUAUGCUCCGUAUGUUCGUAAGAUAUUUCCUAUCUUUUUCAAAUUUUAUUUUUUACUUUGCACAAAUUUUUUUAUUCCAUUUUAUUAACAUGAUUAUUUUUUGAUUACAGCACAUAUGCGUGAAUGUGAAUAUGAUGAUGAUUGUCCACAAAUUGUUGCGUAUCCUUUACUUAUAAGGUGCAUUUAUUACAAUUGUGUAGUUGUUAACGUCAAUGAUCCUUCAUCAUGAGAGGAAGAAGUGCCAUGAAGAAUAAUAAUGAGAUUUUUCAUGAGCAAAAUAGUUCUGCAGUAUACCUUAUGCUAGAAUACUUCAUAACAUGUCAUUUAUUAUUUUAAUGGAUAUCAAUAAUUAUUACUUUUAUUUAUACUUUAGUUUCUUAA